UAUAAUGGAAGAGUCUUCUUCAGUCAUAGA
rnacentral:piRNA from 1 species